GGGAAGGUGACUCAGUAGUAGAGUGCUUGCUUUGCAUGCAUGAGGCCUUUGGUUCAAUUCCUCACCACCACA
rfam:Dipodomys ordii contig_78607, whole genome shotgun sequence.